rnacentral:rRNA from 1 species
CCUACGGGUGGCAGCAGUGGGGGAUAUUGCACAAUGGGGGGAACCCUGAUGCAGCGACGCCGCGUGUGGGAAGACGGUCCUCUGGAUUGUAAACCACUGUCCCCAGGGACGAAAAUGACGGUACCUGGGGAGGAAGCUCCGGCUAACUACGUGCCAGCAGCCGCGGUAAUACGUAGGGAGCGAGCGUUGUCCGGAAUUACGGGGUGUAAAGGGAGCGUAGGCGGGGAUGCAAGUUGGGUGUCAAAACUACCGGCUCAACUGGUAGUCGCACUCAAAACUGCAGCGCUUGAGUGAAGUAGAGGCAGGCGGAAUUCGUAGUGUAGCGGUGAAAUGCGUAGAUAUUAGGAGGAACCCCAGUGGCGAAGGCGGCCUGCUGGGCUUUUACUGACGCUGAGGCUCGAAAGUGUGGGGAGCAAACAGGAUUAGAUACCCCUGUAGUC